rnacentral:rRNA from 1 species
CCUACGGGAGGCUGCAGUGAGGAAUAUUGGUCAAUGGACGAGAGUCUGAACCAGCCAAGUAGCGUGAAGGAUGACUGCCCUAUGGGUUGUAAACUUCUUUUAUAUGGGAAUAAAAUGUUCCACGUGUGGGAUUUUGUAUGUACCAUAUGAAUAAGGAUCGGCUAACUCCGUGCCAGCAGCCGCGGUAAUACGGAGGAUCCGAGCGUUAUCCGGAUUUAUUGGGUUUAAAGGGAGCGUAGGUGGAUUGUUAAGUCAGUUGUGAAAGUUUGCGGCUCAACCGUAAAAUUGCAGUUGAAACUGGCAGUCUUGAGUACAGUAGAGGUGGGCGGAAUUCGUGGUGUAGCGGUGAAAUGCUUAGAUAUCACGAAGAACUCCGAUUGCGAAGGCAGUUCACUGGACUGCAACUGACGCUGAGGCUCGAAAGUGUGGGUAUCAAACAGGAUUAGAUACCCUAGUAGUC